UACGUAGGGUGCGAGCGUUGUCCGGAAUUACUGGGCGUAAAGAGCUCGUAGGUGGUUUGUCGCGUUGUCCGUGAAAACUCACAACUCAAUUGUGGGCGUGCGGGCGAUACGGGCAGACUGGAGUACUGCAGGGGAGACUGGAAUUCCUGGUGUAGCGGUGGAAUGCGCAGAUAUCAGGAGGAACACCGGUGGCGAAGGCGGCUCUCUGGGACGGUACUGACGCUGAGACGCGAAAGCGUGGGGAGCAAACAGG
rnacentral:rRNA from 1 species